rnacentral:rRNA from 1 species
UACAGAGGGUGCAAGCGUUAAUCGGAAUUACUGGGCGUAAAGCGUGCGUAGGCGGCUAUCUAAGUCGGGUGUGAAAGCCCCGGGCUCAACCUGGGAAUUGCAUUCGAGACUGAAUAGCUAGGGUGCGGUAGAGGGAAGCGGAAUUUCCGGUGUAGCGGUGAAAUGCGUAGAUAUCGGAAGGAACAUCAGUGGCGAAAGCGGCUUCCUGGACCAGCACUGACGUUCAGGCACGAAAGCGUGGGGAGCAAACAGG